GAUUCUGGCUCAGGACGAACGCUGGCGGCGUGCUUAACACAUGCAAGUCGAGCGAUGAAGCUCCUUCGGGAGUGGAUUAGCGGCGGACGGGUGAGUAACACGUGGGUAACCUGCCUCAUAGAGGGGAAUAGCCUUUCGAAAGGAAGAUUAAUACCGCAUAAGAUUGUAGUACCGCAUGGUACAGCAAUUAAAGGAGUAAUCCGCUAUGAGAUGGACCCGCGUCGCAUUAGCUAGUUGGUGAGGUAACGGCUCACCAAGGCGACGAUGCGUAGCCGACCUGAGGGGGUGAUCGGCCACAUUGGGACUGAGACACGGCCCAGACUCCUACGGGAGGCAGCAGUGGGGAAUAUUGCACAAUGGGGGAAACCCUGAUGCAGCAACGCCGCGUGAGUGAUGACGGCCUUCGGGUUGUAAAACUCUGUCUUUGGGGACGAUAAUGACGGUACCCAAGGAGGAAGCCACGGCUAACUACGUGCCAGCAGCCGC
rnacentral:rRNA from 1 species